UGGGGAAUAUUGGACAAUGGGCGAAAGCCUGAUCCAGCCAUGCCGCGUGUGUGAAGAAGGUCUUCGGAUUGUAAAGCACUUUAAGUUGGGAGGAAGGGCAGUAAGCGAAUACCUUGCUGCUUUGACGUUACCGACAGAAUAAGCACCGGCUAACUCUGUGCCAGCAGCCGCGGUAAUACAGAGGGUGCAAGCGUUAAUCGGAAUUACUGGGCGUAAAGCGCGCGUAGGUGGUUCGUUAAGUUGAAUGUGAAAGCCCCGGGCUCAACCUGGGAACUGCAUCCAAAGCUGGCGAGCUAGAGUAGGGCAGAGGGUGGUGGAAUUUCCUGUGUCGCGGUGAAAUGCGUGGAUAUAGGAAGGAACACCAGUGGCGAAGGCGACCACCUGGGCUCAUACUGACACUGAGGUGCGAAAGCGUGGGGAGCAAACAGG
rnacentral:rRNA from 1 species